GCGAGUGAAGCGGCAAAAGCUCAAAUUUGAAAUCUAGCACCUUCGGUGUUCGAGUUGUAAUUUGAAGAUGGUAACCUUGGGUUUGGCUCUUGUCUAUGUUCCUUGGAACAGGACGUCAUAGAGGGUGAGAAUCCCGUCUGAUGAGAUGCCCAUUCCUAUGUAAGGUGCUAUCGAAGAGUCGAGUUGUUUGGGAAUGCAGCUCUAAGUGGGUGGUAAAUUCCAUCUAAAGCUAAAUAUUGGCGAGAGACCGAUAGCGAACAAGUACAGUGAUGGAAAGAUGAAAAGAACUUUGAAAAGAGAGUGAAAAAGUACGUGAAAUUGUUGAAAGGGAAGGGCAUUAGAUCAGACUUGGUGUUUUACGAUUAUCUUCUCUUCUUGAGUUGUGCACUCGUAUUUCACUGGGCCAGCAUCGAUUCGGAUGGCAAGAUAAUGGCAGUUGAAUGUGGCUUCACUUCGGUGGAGUGUUAUAGCUUCUGCUGAUAUUGCCUGUCUGGAUCGAGGGCUGCGUCUUUUGACUAGGAUGCUGGCGUAAUGA
rnacentral:rRNA from 1 species